GUAGAGCGAGUCCCCGUGGAGGCUGGGGAAGACGACGGGCGCGGCGCUCGGGGGCAGCAGCACCGAGUCCUUGCAGCGAGGUCACCUGGCAGAACAAGGACACAUGAAUAUUGUAAACUUCUAUCUCUACGUUUUCUUUCUUUUUUUUUUUUUCUUCCUUUUUUACCAGAUUCAGACAGGUAUCACCUUUUAUUUUUAAAACAAGCCAAGAGACGCAAACGUUAAAGACCAGUGCCAUCUCAAAUCCCAGGGUGUGGUUUGGCUCUCCUGGUAGCUGGCUCUUGUGAUUUGCAGAAUACUUCGUCUGUCACGACUGUCCCUGGGAAUCCACAGGAGGUGAACUGAAUAAGAUUAGACUAUUUACCCCAUCAACUCUCCAUCAAAGAAGGUGAAGGCAGCACGGCGGGACACGAGUGGGCACCGGAGGAGCCGCGGCGCUGGCGGAGCACACACCGCCCGGGUCGGGCGGGCGCUCGGCUUCCAGAAGAGUUUUUUGCUUCCCUGACGGUCUGAGUCGUUUUGCCGUGAAACCCUCGGUUUUGAUACCCGCUUCGCAAAACCUGCUCUCGGAGUUUCUCAUUUCCCAUGCGCUCUUCGCUAACCUGACAAACGGAAAAUUGUGUUAAACAAACAAUCAGUUGUCACAUAAUGUCGGGGUGAAAUUGUAAUAACAAAUGAAACACAAGCAAAUUGUGCUGCAUAGUGUUGCUAAGCAAUUGUUUGUUACGGGAGGGUGGUCACAGCAUGGGUUGAGAGAGGGAUCUAAAGAGGAGCAUAGCGCUGGGCAGAGCAAGCUGUUAGAUAUGAAAUACGGUAAACACGGCGCUGAUUUUCAGUAUUAUUACCCAAACACGAUUUCAUACAAAGCAAUCACCAUACACAAGUCUAUGAAAAUGCGCUUGUUGAGAAAUUGGACUUUUAUUUUUUAUUUAUUUUAAUAUAUUAAAGAACAAUUC